UACGAAGGGGGCUAGCGUUGCUUGGAAUUACUGGGCGUAAAGGGCGCGUAGGCGGACAGUUAAGUUGGGGAUGAAAGCCCGGGGCUCAACCUCGGAAUUGCCUUCAAUACUGACUGUCUUGAGUAUGAGAGAGGUGUGUGGAACUCCGAGUGUAGAGGUGAAAUUCGUAGAUAUUCGCAAGAACACCAGUGGCGAAGGCGGCUUACUGGUCCGGUUCUGACGCUGAGGCGCGAAAGCGUGGGGAGCAAACAGG
rnacentral:rRNA from 1 species